rnacentral:rRNA from 1 species
UGGCCCUUACGGCCAGGGCUACACACGUGCUACAAUGGUCGGUACAGAGGGUUGCCAAGCCGCGAGGUGGAGCUAAUACUCACAAAACCGAUCGUAGUCCGGAUCGCAGUCUGCAACUCGACUGCGUGAAGUCGGAAUCGCUAGUAAUCGUGAAUCAGAAUGUCACGGUGAAUACGUUCCCGGGCCUU